rnacentral:lncRNA from 1 species
UCUAGCUGGGAGUGCUCCUGGUCAUCCUACAUGGGACGCCGCCUCAGCCUGGCCUGAUGAGCGGUGCCAUGUCCGUGCCCAGGGGCUGAACCAGUGAAACCCUGGGCUGCCGGAGCAGAGCGCGCGAAUUUAACCACUCGUCCACUCGGCCGGCCCCAGCAGGGGAUCUUAUAGAGCUAAGGGGCUUGGCAGGAGGAGUUUCAAGAAACAAAGAGUAACCAUGAGGAAAGUACUGUUAACUGGCCCAUUUUACAGCUGAGAAAAUGGAGGCUCAGAAGAUGUAAACUCUGGUCUGCUGAUUCCAGAAUCUGAAACCGAGAACGCACUGCCUCCCCUUGUGGGCGAUCUGGAGAGGAACCAGAUCCAGCCCCCACCUCAGGUGUGGAAACAGGGAGCGAUGAGAUUGGCUGACAUUUGUGAAGGAGCCGAGCUGUGGUGCGGCCUCGUCGGAGAGAGCAGGAAUCAUCUCUACUGUCUCGGCUGAUCCCCGGAAAGUCAAUCAAGAGGAGCCGCCUGGAUUAGGGCCCCUUGGACAGCAAGGGGAAUAACCUCCAGGGUUCCCCACCUCCGUCCCUGGCCCUGGCCUCCGUACCUGCAUUUUCUUAGGAGUAGAGAGUUUCUUUUAUGAUUUUAUUCCACUUCCCCUCGCUCCCAAGCUCCCCCAGUGGAGAGAGGAAUAGGGAACCCAGAGACAGAGAUGUUUUCUGUAGGGUUUUCCGUUGCUGAGUUCAUCUAUUCAUUCAACAAUCAUUUCAUUCAACAAAUCUACAUGGCAGCUCAGGCGGGCAGGGAAUUUUGUCUGUUUUGUUCAAUGCUGUACGCCCAGUGUCUGGCACACAGUCAGUGCUCAAUAAAUAUUUGUUCAGUGAGGGAGGGCCAACUUUGGGCUAGUCCCUCCACCGGGUGAGGAAGACACAGCCCCUGCCCUCAAGCACCCAGAGCAUUGUGCUGGGGGACAAAGUUGCUUAGCCAGGGACCACAGCCCGUGUGACAGGUGAGGCAACAGCCCAGGGUCUGGGAGCGUUUGGCAGAGGCCCCAUCCCUCUAGGGGAGUGAGGCUUUGGGGGGCCAGGAAGGGGCUCCCAGGGGAGGUAUGUGUCAGCUGAAGCCUGAAAGAUAAGCAGGCCAGGAGUAGAAGCACAGGUGAAGGGAGCUGACUGUCUCUUAUAUGCUGCUGGGGCAGGGGGUGGGGGCGUGGGGGGGUA